rnacentral:rRNA from 1 species
GAUGAACGCUGGCGGCGUGCCUAAUACAUGCAAGUCGAGCGAACGGACGAGAAGCUUGCUUCUCUGAUGUUAGCGGCGGACGGGUGAGUAACAUGUGGAUAACCUACCUAUAAGACUUGGAUAACUUCGGGAAACCGUAGCUAAUACCGGAUAAUAUUUUGAACCGCAUGGUUCAAAAGUGAAAGACGGUCUUGCUGUCACUUAUAGAUGGAUCCGCGCUGCAUUAGCUAGUUGGUAAGGUAACGGCUUACCAAGGCAACGAUGCAUAGCCGACCUGAGAGGAUGAUCGGCCACACUGGAACUGAGACACGGUCCAGACUCCUACGGGAGGCAGCAGUAGGGAAUCUUCCGCAAUGGGCGAAAGCCUGACGGAGCAACGCCGCGUGAGUGAUGAAGGUCUUCGGAUCGUAAAACUCUGUUAUUAGGGAAGAACAUAUGUGGAAGUAACUGUGCACAUCUUGACGGUACCUAAUCAGAAAGCCACGGCUAACUACGUG